rnacentral:lncRNA from 1 species
CGAGUCUUAGUUUCUUUCUUUGUAAAAGGAGGAUAACUUGUAAUCUUUGCUAUGGUUGCUAUGAAGAUUAAAUAUAAUUUUAUAAAACAUCUGGCACACAGUAGGUGUGUGUACACUAAAGGAUUGUUUGUCUAUUUACUGGGGUGUUCUAAUUUGGCAUCAGAGACUACUACUACUCUGAGGUCUUUUGUGUUCUCUCAGUCCAUUGAAUUAACCUGAAUUUUUUAUUCAGCAAUAUUUUGGAGGGUACAAUUUUUGGGGUUCUGGAGACCAAAUCCAGGGGUGCUCUACUACUGAGCUAUAUCCUCAGUCCUUUUUAUUUUGAGAUGGGGUCUCCCUAAGUUGUUGAGACUGGCCUCAAAUUUGCAGUCCUCCUGCUGGAGCCUCCUAAGUAACUGGGAUUACAGGUGUGCACCACUGCACCCAACUUGGGUACACCUAUAUGUCAGUCAUGCUAAGCAAGGGAAUACAAAGGUGGGACUAUUGUAGUCCCUGCUCUCAAAGGGCAUGCAGUCCAGUGGAGAUACCAAUGAACAGAUGAGCAAUUGCAGUUUAGUAUGGUAAAGACUAGGAAAGGAAGAACAAGCUGUUUGCAGCCAUGUCCCCAGGCUUGGGAACACUAGGGAAGCUCAGUGAUGGUGUGAGGAUAUGCAUUUGGCAGGAAAAACAGGAGACGAAAGUGGAGAGGCCCAUUUGUGGUAAGGAAUAGUGGGUGCAUAAUGGAGGGGGUCAGUGGGCCAGCUAAGGAGGCUGGGUUUUAUUAAGACAUCCUGGGAGCCCUUGAAGGAUCUGAAGCCUGGAAAUGAUGUGCUUGCUCAGGUUUUAGAAAGGUCUCUUACUGCUGUGUGGAGAUUGGGACUGGUGGGGAGGUCAAGAGAGACUCACGAAGACUGGCUGGUGAUAUGUAGUGGUACAGAGAGACCAUAAAGGCUAAACUAGGAUGGUGGUGGUAGGAUUGAAGAGAAAGAAUAGCUGGCAUAGUAGGAGAUAAACACCAAACAAGUUUUGGUGAUGGACUGAAUGCGAGGAGUGAAAUGAUCACAUUUUUGCCAGGAGCAAAUGAGUAGGAAGUUGUGCCACUAUGAGGGACUGGUUUGAAGUGUUAAGAGAAUUUCGUUGGCCUAUGUUGAAUAUGAAGCACCAGAAAGAAGUGCAAGUCAUGUCAAGUAAGAGUGGGUUUGGUGCUCAAGAGAGGCUAGGGUCACAGGGAGAAUCAACAUAUUAUGUCUAGUCCCCAAGUGUCUUCAGGGUUUUCAGAGCUGAGCCAGCAGGGGCACUCCAUACAGUAGAGAGUAAGAGCCAGGCACAGUGGCGCAGGCCUGUAAUGAGGCUGAAGCAGGCAGAUUGUGAGUUCAAAGCCA